rnacentral:misc_RNA from 1 species
GAAAUGCGAUAAGUAAUGUGAAUUGCAGAAUUCAGUGAAUCAUCGAAUCUUUGAACGCACCUUGCGCUCCUUGGUAUUCCUUGGAGCAUGCCUGUUUGAGUAUCAUGAAAUCUUCAAAGUAAAUCUUUUGUUAACUCAAUUGGUUUCUACUUUGGUAUUGGAGGUCUUUGCAGCUUCACACCUGCUCCUCUUUGUUCAUUAGCUGGAUCUCAGUGUUAUGCUUGGUUCCACUCGGCGUGAUAAGUUAUCUAUCGCUGAGGACACUGUAAAAGGUGGGCAAGGUAAAUGCAGAUGAACCGCUUCUAAUAGUCCAUUGACUUGGACAAUACUUUUAUGAUCUGAUCUCAAAUCAGGUAGGACUACCCGCUGAACUUAAGC